CAUCUUUAAUAGGAUGUUACGAUUGUGUGAAUACAUAGCACAUUCGAGGUAGACGCAGAGAACUGAAACAUCUAAGUACCUGCAGGAAGAGAAAGAAAAUUCGAUUCCCUGAGUAGCGGCGAGCGAAACGGGAAAAGCCCAAACCAGCAAGCUUGCUUGUUGGGGUUGUAGGACUCCAAUAUGGUAGUUCUUUCAGAUAGUCGAAUGACUUGGAAAAGUCAGUCAAAGAGGGUAAAAACCCCGUAGACGAAAUGUGGAAGACACCUAGGAGGAUCCUGAGUACGGCGGAACACGAGAAAUUCCGUCGGAAUCCGGGAGGACCAUCUCCCAAGGCUAAAUACUCCCUAGUGACCGAUAGUGAACCAGUACCGUGAGGGAAAGGUGAAAAGCACCCCGGAAGGGGAGUGAAAUAGAACCUGAAACCGUGUGCCUACAACAAGUCAAAGCCCGUUAAUGGGUGAUGGCGUGCCUUUUGUAGAAUGAACCGGCGAGUUACGAUUGCAUGCGAGGUUAAGUUGAAGAGACGGAGCCGCAGCGAAAGCGAGUCUGAAUAGGGCGUUUGAGUAUGUAGUCGUAGACCCGAAACCAUGUGAUCUACCCAUGUCCAGGUUGAAGGUGCGGUAAAACGCACUGGAGGACCGAACCCACGUACGUUGAAAAGUGCGGGGAUGAGGUGUGGGUAGCGGAGAAAUUCCAAACGAACUUGGAGAUAGCUGGUUCUCUCCGAAAUAGCUUUAGGGCUAGCCUCGGAAUUGAGAAUGAUGGAGGUAGAGCACUGUUUGGACUAGGGGCCCAUCUCGGGUUACCGAAUUCAGAUAAACUCCGAAUGCCAUUCAUUCAUAUCCGGGAGUCAGACUGUGAGUGAUAAGAUCCAUAGUCGAAAGGGAAACAGCCCAGACCACCAGCUAAGGUCCCAAAAUAUAUGUUAAGUGGAAAAGGAUGUGGGGUUGCACAGACAACUAGGAUGUUGGCUUAGAAGCAGCCACCAUUUAAAGAGUGCGUAAUAGCUCACUAGUCGAGUGACCCUGCGCCGAAAAUGUACCGGGGCUAAACAUAUUACCGAAGCUGUGGAGUACACCUUUAGGUGUAUUGGUAGGAGAGCGUUCUAAGGGCGUUGAAGGCAGAUCGUGAGGACUGCUGGAGCGCUUAGAAGUGAGAAUGCCGGUAUGAGUAGCGAAAGACAGGUGAGAAUCCUGUCCACCGAAUGACUAAGGUUUCCUGGGGAAGGCUCGUCCGCCCAGGGUUAGUCGGGACCUAAGCCGAGGCCGACAGGCGUAGGCGAUGGAUAACAGGUUGAUAUUCCUGUACCCGUUGUUUUUGUUUGAGCAAUGGAGGGACGCAGGAGGCUAAGGAAUGCAGACGAUCGGAAAUGUCUGUCCAAGCAGUAAGUCUGAAGAGGAGUCAAAUGCUUCUUUUCUUAAGGACAAGCUGUGAUGGGGAGGGAAAUAAUAGUACCGAAGUUCCUGAUGUCACACUGCCGAGAAAAGCUUCUAGUGAGAAAACAGCGGCCCGUACCGCAAACCGACACAGGUAGUCGAGGAGAGAAUCCUAAGGUGAGCGAGAGAACUCUCGUUAAGGAACUCGGCAAAAUGACCCCGUAACUUCGGGAGAAGGGGUGCUGAUCAUACGAUCAGCCGCAGUGAAUAGGCCCAAGCGACUGUUUAUCAAAAACACAGGUCUCUGCAAAAUCGUAAGAUGAAGUAUAGGGGCUGACGCCUGCCCGGUGCUGGAAGGUUAAGAGGAGUGCUUAGCGCAAGCGAAGGUACGAAUUGAAGCCCCAGUAAACGGCGGCCGUAACUAUAACGGUCCUAAGGUAGCGAAAUUCCUUGUCGGGUAAGUUCCGACCCGCACGAAAGGCGUAACGAUUUGGGCACUGUCUCAACGAGAGACUCGGUGAAAUUUUAGUACCUGUGAAGAUGCAGGUUACCCGCGACAGGACGGAAAGACCCCAUGGAGCUUUACUGUAGUUUGAUAUUGAGUGUCUGUACCGCAUGUACAGGAUAGGUAGGAGCCGUAGAAAUCGGAACGCUAGUUUCGAUGGAGGCGCUGGUGGGAUACUACCCCUGCG
rnacentral:rRNA from 1 species